rnacentral:rRNA from 1 species
AUACGGAGGGGGCUAGCGUUGUUCGGAUUUACUGGGCGUAAAGGGCGCGUAGGCGGUAUGUCAUGUCAGGGGUGAAAGGCCUGGGCUCAACCCAGGAACUGCCUUUGAAACUGGCAAACUCGAGUCCGAUAGAGGAUGGCGGAAUUCCCAGUGUAGAGGUGAAAUUCGUAGAUAUUGGGAAGAACACCAGUGGCGAAGGCGGCUAGCUGGGCCGGUUCUGACACUGAACUGCGAAAGCGUGGGGAGCAAACAGGAUUAGAAACCCCAGUAGUCC